rnacentral:ncRNA from 2 species
AUGUUAUCAAGAAAGGUGGAGGGAAUAGACCCUUUGAAGCCUUAGCAACCUCCCGAGUUUUCGGGGAAGGUGCUAAAUUCUACUUAAGUAUUUAAUAUUAAGUGCUUUAGAUAGAUAACCC